CGGCAAGACGGAAAGACCCCGUGAACCUUUACUAUAGCUUGACACUGAACAUUGAGCCUUGAUGUGUAGGAUAGGUGGGAGGCUUUGAAGUGUGGACGCCAGUCUGCAUGGAGCCGACCUUGAAAUACCACCCUUUAAUGUUUGAUGUUCUAACGUGGACCCGUGAUCCGGGUUGCGGACAGUGUCUGGUGGGUAGUUUGACUGGGGCGGUCUCCUCCUAAAGAGUAACGGAGGAGCACGAAGGUUGGCUAAUCCUGGUCGGACAUCAGGAGGUUAGUGCAAUGGCAUAAGCCAGCUUGACUGCGAGCGUGACGGCGCGAGCAGGUGCGAAAGCAGGUCAUAGUGAUCCGGUGGUUCUGAAUGGAAGGGCCAUCGCUCAACGGAUAAAAGGUACUCCGGGGAUAACAGGCUGAUACCGCCCAAGAGUUCAUAUCGACGGCGGUGUUUGGCACCUCGAUGUCGGCUCAUCACAUCCUGGGGCUGAAGUAGGUCCCAAGGGUAUGGCUGUUCGCCAUUUAAAGUGGUACGCGAGCUGGGUUUAGAACGUCGUGAGACAGUUCGGUCCCUAUCUGCCGUGGGCGCUGGAGAACUGAGGGGGGCUGCUCCUAGUACGAGAGGACCGGAGUGGACGCAUCACUGGUGUUCGGGUUGUCAUGCCAAUGGCACUGCCCGGUAGCUAAAUGCGGAAGAGAUAAGUGCUGAAAGCAUCUAAGCACGAAACUUGCCCCGAGAUGAGUUCUCCCUGAGACUUUAGGUCUCCUGAAGGAACGUUGAAGACGACGACGUUGAUAGGCCGGGUGUGUAAGCGCAGCGAUGCGUUGAGCUAACCGGUACUAAUGAACCGUGAGGCUUAACCUUACAACGCCGAAG
rnacentral:rRNA from 1 species